rnacentral:lncRNA from 1 species
CUAUGUUUUACAAGUGUUGUUUUCUGCAGCUAGAAGUACGAAGCCCACAGGACAGAGAAUGAUACACACGUACAGCUCAGCAAAGAAGCCGAGUGGGACCAAGACCAGAACACCGCAUGUGAUUUGAUUAGGGACACUCUGUCUCUUUAGUGACAGCCCUCAGAUGAGACUGGAAUCUGAUUAGGACAUCUGGUUGUCCAAGGUGAUAUAACAGGAGUGUGGGCCUGAGUCCUGACGGCGAGCAAGCACUGAAGGCAUUGUAUGCGUCCCAGCCUCUAUCGCCAGUGGGACUGAGCUGCAAUCCCACUUUAGGCAGUGUGAACAGGGGGAAGCAUUCACAGCAAUCCUUUAUGGUGAAGGAGAUGUGAAAUAACCAGUCCAAGAUGACACACCUCAAAAGGAGAGAACCAGAAUUCACGUCUAGACCACCUGGCUUCAGAAAUCAUGCUCUUAUGCUCAGGAACUUGAUGCUCAAUUCGGUAAAUGUUUGUUGAAUCAACAAAUACUUGAAUAAAUGGAAACAUCUGGCUUUAGGCACCGUAGUCAUGAAGAGUCCAACAUCAAAUGUAACAACUAUAGCUGAGACCUACGUGUUCAACCUGAAAUAGCUGAAGAAGCAGGGCCAGGCUGGUGCCAGAAGUCUGAGAGCUGUGCAGCCUCUCCUCUCUGAGGCUGUGACAUCUGCAAGACGGAUAAGAAAAGGAAGAUAGAACUGAGGUCCACCAAGAUCUGGGGCCAUGUCCACCAUUCAGUAACUCCAAGCAAAGGUAGAUUGUGCCAGGUUGAACAGUGCCCCACCUCCCAAAGUCAUGUCCAUCCG